UGGUUCUCCCCGAAAGCUAUUUAGGUAGCGCCUUGUGAAUUCAUCUCCGGGGGUAGAGCACUGUUUCGGCAAGGGGGUCAUCCCGACUUACCAACCCGAUGCAAACUGCGAAUACCGGAGAAUGUUAUCACGGGAGACACACGGCGGGUGCUAACGUCCGUCGUGAAGAGGGAAACAACCCAGACCGCCAGCUAAGGUCCCAAAGUCAUGGUUAAGUGGGAAACGAUGUGGGAAGGCCCAGACAGCCAGGAUGUUGGCUUAGAAGCAGCCAUCAUUUAAAGAAAGCGUAAUAGCUCACUGGUCGAGUCGGCCUGCGCGGAAGAUGUAACGGGGCUAAACCAUGCACCGAAGCUGCGGCAGCGACGCUGAUGCGUUGUUGGGUAGGGGAGCGUUCUGUAAGCCUGUGAAGGUGUGCUGUGAGGCAUGCUGGAGGUAUCAGAAGUGCGAAUGCUGACAUAAGUAACGAUAAAGCGGGUGAAAAGCCCGCUCGCCGGAAGACCAAGGGUUCCUGUCCAACGUUAAUCGGGGCAGGGUGAGUCGACCCCUAAGGCGAGGCCGAAAGGCGUAGUCGAUGGGAAACAGGUUAAUAUUCCUGUACUUGGUGUUACUGCGAAGGGGGGACGGAGAAGGCUAUGUUGGCCGGGCGACGGUUGUCCCGGUUUAAGCGUGUAGGCUGGUUUUCCAGGCAAAUCCGGAAAACUAAGGCUGAGGCGUGAUGACGAGGCACUACGGUGCUGAAGCAACAAAUGCCCUGCUUCCAGGAAAAGCCUCUAAGCAUCAGGUAACAUCAAAUCGUACCCCAAACCGACACAGGUGGUCAGGUAGAGAAUACCAAGGCGCUUGAGAGAACUCGGGUGAAGGAACUAGGCAAAAUGGUGCCGUAACUUCGGGAGAAGGCACGCUGAUAUGUAGGUGAAGUCCCUCGCGGAUGGAGCUGAAAUCAGUCGAAGAUACCAGCUGGCUGCAACUGUUUAUUAAAAACACAGCACUGUGCAAACACGAAAGUGGACGUAUACGGUGUGACGCCUGCCCGGUGCCGGAAGGUUAAUUGAUGGGGUCAGCGCAAGCGAAGCUCUUGAUCGAAGCCCCGGUAAACGGCGGCCGUAACUAUAACGGUCCUAAGGUAGCGAAAUUCCUUGUCGGGUAAGUUCCGACCUGCACGAAUGGCGUAAUGAUGGCCAGGCUGUCUCCACCCGAGACUCAGUGAAAUUGAACUCGCUGUGAAGAUGCAGUGUACCCGCGGCAAGACGGAAAGACCCCGUGAACCUUUACUAUAGCUUGACACUGAACAUUGAGCCUUGAUGUGUAGGAUAGGUGGGAGGCUUUGAAGUGUGGACGCCAGUCUGCAUGGAGCCGACCUUGAAAUACCACCCUUUAAUGUUUGAUGUUCUAACGUUGACCCGUAAUCCGGGUUGCGGACAGUGUCUGGUGGGUAGUUUGACUGGGGCGGUCUCCUCCUAAAGAGUAACGGAGGAGCACGAAGGUUGGCUAAUCCUGGUCGGACAUCAGGAGGUUAGUGCAAUGGCAUAAGCCAGCUUGACUGCGAGCGUGACGGCGCGAGCAGGUGCGAAAGCAGGUCAUAGUGAUCCGGUGGUUCUGAAUGGAAGGGCCAUCGCUCAACGGAUAAAAGGUACUCCGGGGAUAACAGGCUGAUACCGCCCAAGAGUUCAUAUCGACGGCGGUGUUUGGCACCUCGAUGUCGGCUCAUCACAUCCUGGGGCUGAAGUAGGUCCCAAGGGUAUGGCUGUUCGCCAUUUAAAGUGGUACGCGAGCUGGGUUUAGAACGUCGUGAGACAGUUCGGUCCCUAUCUGCCGUGGGCGCUGGAGAACUGAGGGGGGCUGCUCCUAGUACGAGAGGACCGGAGUGGACGCAUCACUGGUGUUCGGGUUGUCAUGCCAAUGGCACUGCCCGGUAGCUAAAUGCGGAAGAGAUAAGUGCUGAAAGCAUCUAAGCACGAAACUUGCCCCGAGAUGAGUUCUCCCUGACUCCUUGAGAGUCCUGAAGGAACGUUGAAG
rnacentral:rRNA from 1 species